UACGUAGGGGGCGAGCGUUGUCCGGAUUUAUUGGGCGUAAAGCGCACGCAGGCGGUCUUUUACGUUUUGAGUGACAGGUGGUGGCUCAACCACCACAGGCCUUGAAAUACGGGAAGACUUGAGGACGAGAGAGGGAUGCGGAAUUCCAGGUGGAGCGGUGAAAUGCGUAGAGAUCUGGAAGAACACCAAAGGCGAAGGCAGCAUCCUGGCUCGUAUCUGACGCUGAUGUGCGAAAAGCUAGGGGAGCGAACGGG
rnacentral:rRNA from 1 species